rnacentral:rRNA from 1 species
GGAUAACCUACCCUUAGGACUGGGAUAACCCUGGGAAACUGGGGAUAAUACCGGAUAGGCGAUUUUUCCUGGAAUGGUUUUUUGUUUAAAUGUUUUUUCGCCUAAGGAUGGGUCUGCGGCCGAUUAGGUAGUUGGUUAGGUAACGGCUUACCAAGCCAUUGAUCGGUACGGGUUGUGAGAGCAAGAGCCCGGAGAUGGAACCUGAGACAAGGUUCCAGGCCCUACGGGGUGCAGCAGGCGCGAAACCUCCGCAAUGUGAGAAAUCGCGACGGGGGGAUCCCAAGUGCCAUUCUUAACGGGAUGGCUUUUCAUUAGUGUAAAGAGCUUUUGGAAUAAGGGCUGGGCAAGACCGGUGCCAGCCGCCGCGGUAACACCGGCAGCUCUAGUGGUAGCAGUUUUUAUUGGGCCUAAAGCGUCCGUAGCCGGUUUAAUAAGUCUCUGGUGAAAUCCUGUAGCUUAACUGUGGGAAUUGCUGGAGAUACUAUUAGACUUGAGACCGGGAGAGGUUAGAGGUACUCCCAGGGUAGAGGUGAAAUUCUGUAAUCCUGGGAGGACCGCCUGUUGCGAAGGCGUCUAACUGGAACGGUUCUGACGGUGAGGGACGAAAGUUAGGGGCGCGAACCGGAUUAGAUACCCGGGUAGUCCUAACUGUAAACGAUGCGGACUUGGUGUUGGGGUGGCUU